GCUCCGCGCACAUUUCGCUACGGAGACAAAGUGGAGUUAAAGGUGAACAAGUUGACAAGCGUGCACACGCAGAUACCA
rnacentral:tRNA from 1 species